rnacentral:rRNA from 1 species
AAUGAACGUUGGCGGCGUGGAUUAGGCAUGCAAGUCGAGCGAGAACCGUAGCAAUACGGGGACAGCGGCGAAAGGGAGAGUAAUGCGUGGGUACCUACCCUCGGAUCCGGGAUAGCUACGGGAAACUGUAGGUAAUACUGGAUAACGUCUCCGGACCAAAGGUGUGAUUCCGUCCGGGGAGGGGCCCACGUCCUAUUAGCUAGUUGGCGAGGUAACGGCUCACCAAGGCAAAGAUGGGUACGGGGUGUGAGAGCAUGCCCCCGCUCACUGGGACUGAGACACUGCCCAGACACCUACGGGAGGCUG